AGUGAACGCUGGCGGUAGGCCUAACACAUGCAAGUCGAACGGCAGCACAGUAAGAGCUUGCUCUUACGGGUGGCGAGUGGCGGACGGGUGAGGAAUACAUCGGAAUCUACUUUUUCGUGGGGGAUAACGUAGGGAAACUUACGCUAAUACCGCAUACGACCUACGGGUGAAAGCAGGGGAUCUUCGGACCUUGCGCGAUUGAAUGAGCCGAUGUCGGAUUAGCUAGUUGGCGGGGUAAAGGCCCACCAAGGCGACGAUCCGUAGCUGGUCUGAGAGGAUGGUCGCCCACACUGGAACUGAGACACGGUCCAGACUCCUACGGGAGGCAGCAGUGGGGAAUAUUGGACAAUGGGCGCAAGCCUGAUCCAGCCAUACCGCGUGGGUGAAGAAGGCCUUCGGGUUGUAAAGCCCUUUUGUUGGGAAAGAAAAGCAGCAGGUUAAUACCCCGCUGUUCUGACGGUACCCAAAGAAUAAGCACCGGCUAACUUCGUG
rnacentral:rRNA from 1 species